GGCGACAUGGCCAGUGGUAGGGCAGAGGACUGCAAAUCCUUUUUUCCCCAGUUCAAAUCCGGGUGUCGCCU
rnacentral:tRNA from 1 species